rnacentral:rRNA from 1 species
AGUGAACGCUGGCGGUAGGCCUAACACAUGCAAGUCGAACGGCAGCACAGUAAUAGCUUGCUCUUACGGGUGGCGAGUGGCGGACGGGUGAGGAAUACAUCGGAAUCUACUUUUUCGUGGGGGAUAACGUAGGGAAACAUACGCUAAUACCGCAUACGACCUACGGGUGAAAGCAGCGGAUCUUCGGACCUUGCGCGAUUGAAUAAGCCGAUGUCGGAUUAGCUAGUUGGCGGGGUAAAGGCCCACCAAGGCGACGAUCCGUAGCUGGUCUGAGAGGAUGAUCAGCCACACUGGAACUGAGACACGGUCCAGACUCCUACGGGAGGCAGCAGUGGGGAAUAUUGGACAAUGGGCGCAAGCCUGAUCCAGCCAUACCGCGUGGGUGAAGAAGGCCUUCGGGUUGUAAAGCCCUUUUGUUGGGAAAGAAAAGCAGCAGGUUAAUACCCCGCUGUUCUGACGGUACCCAAAGAAUAAGCACCGGCUAACUUCGUG